rnacentral:rRNA from 1 species
UACGUAGGGGGCAAGCGUUGUCCGGAUUUAUUGGGCGUAAAGAGCGUGUAGGCGGCUUUGCAAGUCCGUUGUGAAAACUCGAGGCUCAACCUCGAGACGCCGGUGGAAACUGCAAAGCUAGAGUCCGGAAGAGGAGAGUGGAAUUCCUGGUGUAGCGGUGAAAUGCGCAGAUAUCAGGAAGAACACCCGUGGCGAAGGCGGCUCUCUGGGACGGUACUGACGUUGAGACGCGAAAGCGUGGGGAGCGAACAGG